AGGGGGAAUACUUUUGCAAGCCACUGUAGAACACCAGUAUGAGGUAAAUGAAUGAAAUGAAUGUAGAUCAAAAUCUGAUGGUACUUUUCUGUGUUCAUAUUUCCAUCAGUGUGAACAAGAUCUCAAACAAGGUUAAAAUGCAGCCUGGACAAUGAAAGAGUCCCCACCAUGAGCUACAGAUGGCUGUGGACAAUCUUUUGUACUUCUCUCCUGACGUCCUACAUACAUACUGAUGAUGAUUUGCUUGUGUAACGUGACAUACCUCAGCCUUUAGCUCUUGCUCCGCUUCCUUAAGAAUUGUUUCUUGGCAACCAUCAACUGAAGAACCACACAACACUAGUUCAUCAUUUGAGUUAUGCAAGAGUGAUCCAGCUGCAGUCUCUCCAGCAGUGAGAACAGAAUACGUCACUUAUGGGCAAAUCAUCAUCAAAGACAAGAAAAAAAAGUCAGAGAGCGAUCCUGCUGCAGUGUACUCAGGAGUGAGAACAGAAGACAUCAAUUACGGACAAAUAGCCUUCAGACCAAAGAGGAAAAAAGACUGUAAACCAGAGCCAGAUGUCGUCUACUCUUCACUGAAGUAGUCCACCAGUCCAACCAUUGAUGUCCAGCUGCUGGUCUCUAACUGGUCCCCCAGCACCUCCACAGACACAUCCAUAUGUUGAAAAGAUUUCUUUUUGAUGUUUUGUGUCUUUUAUUUCACUUAUUACAUCCUCCUCCACUUACAAAUUCAGGGUUGCAGUGGGACUGGAGCCUAUCCCAGCUGCCGUAGGACAAGACUCAGGGUACACCUUCAGCAGGUCCCCGUUCUUGCAGGGCUAACACAGAGAGAGAAUUUAGACUCAUCAACUAACUUAACCCCACUAACUGCAUGUUGUUGGGCUGUGGGAGGAAGCCAAAGUACCUGCAGAGACCCACACAAACGCAAGGAGAACAUGCAAACUUCAACAUCAGCGAUAUUAAUAUAAAUAUUUUAAUAUAUCUUAUGUUGUCAGUAACUUUACUGUUAUUUCCAUUCUUGUUUGUUGGAUCCAGCUCGUGUUCUCA
ensembl:lncRNA